rnacentral:tRNA from 1 species
GGGGUGGAGCAGCCUGGUAGCUCGUCGGGCUCAUAACCCGAAGGUCGUCGGUUCAAAUCCGGCCCUC